rnacentral:misc_RNA from 1 species
AGAGCCAGGGAGCGUCGCCAGCCUGGAAACAGGCCGGUGGCACCCUCCCGAACUCCACCCUUGAAUAAAUUACCUUUGUUGCUUUGGCGGGCCGCCUCGUGCCAGCGGCUUCGGCUGGUUAGUGCCUACCAGAGAACCACAACUCUGUAAUAAAUGUCGUCUGAGUACUAUAAAAUAGUUAAAACUUUCAACAACGGAUCUCUUGGUUCU